GUGAAGAGCCAGAGAGAAGACCACUGCCUUUGAACCAGGAAGCAGGCCCUCACCACACACUGAAUCUGCUGGUGCUUUGAUCUUAGACUUCUCAGCUUCUAGAUCUCAUAAGGCAAAGUCAUGAGCUGAAAGUAUGGAUGGGAAGAACUUGUCAGAAGUACAGCAAGAGAGGAAGGUAUUAGCUAAUCAUCUUCCAUAAUGGGAGAGCAAACUUAUUUGGGAACUAUCUGAGGAUUUCCAGGAACAGCUAAAUGGCCACUGUGCUUUGUGGUCAUGAAGGCAAGUAAUGCUAAGCCCCAAGGAAGCUAAGAUUGUUUGAAAGGUAGUCAUAAUGACGAUGGACUCUAAGCUGGGUUAAGAGGACUAUGAAGACAAAAGAAGGAUGAUAGAUGAUGAAGAGGUGGUGGGCUCAAUGGAUUGGAAGUCUCAAUGAAGUUGAAGAUUCCUUGAGGGGAUACAAAACGGUACUGCCCCGAAUUCUGCAAGGAAGAGCCACCCUGGGCACGUUUGGCAUCUUAUCCCCACCCAACAACCCUGCGAGCUUAAUAGAGGACAGCUGGAUUCUUGCAUAUGCUUCCGCAUGAACUCUUUUGGGUGAAAUAUAUGAAGAAAAUCCAGCAUCACAGAGAUAUGUUGGGAAAGACAGAGCCUCAUGGAUUUCCUGUUAGGCAGCAUCUGAAAUCUCUCCCAAUGACCUCUGCCCCCCGAUCUUCAUGCCCUUGUGGAAUCCCCUCCACUUGGGUGUGGGCUGGACCUGGCAAUUUGCUUCUAAGGAAUACAUAGAGCAAAAGUGAUGGGAUGUCAUUCUGAAGAUGACAUCCAAAGACUGUGGCUUCCGCCUGAAGUGCCUUUUCUUGCUCUCUUGCUCUGGGGGAAGUGAACUGCCAUGGUGUAAGCUCCCAUGUGGUGCCACGGGGAGGUCCACCCAGCAAAGAACCGAAGGAGGCCUCUGGCUGAGGUCCUGAGUGAUGAACUGAGGUCCGCCCACAGCUGCAGUGGGCAGUUAGAAGCAGACCCUUCACUAGCUGAGUCAUCAGAUGAGACUGCAGCCCUGGCUGACACCUUGACUGAAGCUGGUGAGAAUCUUCCAGCUAAGCCAUGCCUGUGCUCCUGACUUAUUGCAAGUUACUAUGAGACUGCUUCAGGCUUCCCCCAUUGGCAUGCACCAUGGAGGAUGGGAACCUCGGGAACCAUCUGGGCAUGCUGUCCCACUGCAGAGGAACCCAUGGAGACCUCGGCCCACGAGGUGAUGUGACCAACCCAAGGUUACCUGGCAAGUUGGAGACAGUGACGACACUGGAGUUUCAGAUAAGGUUCCUACUACCUGCUCCUGCCCCCUCCCCCAAAUCUGAUUAGAGCUUCACAUGUGAGGCCUACCUUCCCUCACAGACUGUUAGGGUCUGUGCAGGCUGUGUUGGGCUCACAGCACUUAGCACUCAGUAAACUACUGAAUGGAUGAGGAGA